UACGAAGGGGGCUAGCGUUGUUCGGAAUUACUGGGCGUAAAGCGCACGUAGGCGGAUACUUAAGUCAGGGGUGAAAUCCCGGGGCUCAACCCCGGAACUGCCUUUGAUACUGGGUAUCUCGAGUCCGGAAGAGGUGAGUGGAAUUCCGAGUGUAGAGGUGAAAUUCGUAGAUAUUCGGAGGAACACCAGUGGCGAAGGCGGCUCACUGGCCCGGUACUGACGCUGAGGUGCGAAAGCGUGGGGAGCAAACAGG
rnacentral:rRNA from 1 species